AGAAUCAACGCUGGCGGCGUGCCUCAGACAUGCAAGUCGAACGAUUAAACUUUCCUUCGGGAAAGAUAUAAAGUGGCGCACGGGUGAGUAACACGUAAGUAAUCUACCUUUGAGUGGGGAAUAACCCGGGGAAACCCGAGCUAAUACCGCAUAAUGCAGCGGCACCGCAAGGUGACAGUUGUUAAAGGAGCAAUCCGCUUAAAGAGGAGCUUGCGGCAGAUUAGCUAGUUGGUAAGGUAAUGGCUUACCAAGGCUACGAUCUGUACUCGUACUAGAGGUACGGUCGACAC
rnacentral:rRNA from 1 species